CGAUCCAGCUACAAACACUCCACAGGUUGGCCAGGCUUCUCUUGAUUCGGAGAUGCAAACUAUGUUAGCUCUACGCGAAUAUUUGUGUGGUCUGCAAUCUGACACCGGCAGGACCAUAAUAGAUUAUGGUGAAUAUUCAGCGACAUGUUCUGACAUAUAUGAAUCUUUUGCCGAUGGGAAGUGUCUCGACAAUGUAUUCAUGCAGUGUUUCAUCCAAUGUGUUAUUGAUGAUGCAAAAAAUCAGCAGACUUCCAUGAGUUCGAACAGUUUGGUUCUUGAUGUUAAUGUUGGGUCAAUACUCAACUUUGAGGAACAGGAACGACACAGUCGCAACCCUCAACCUUUUGAUGAAUCUGUACUCCACACACUUCUAGACAAUU